AACCAGCACCUCAAGUGGUCAGGAUGAUUAUUGGGCCUAAAGCAUCCGUAGCCGGCUCUGUAAGUUUUCGGUUAAAUCUGCACGCUUAACGUACAGGCUGCCGGGAAUACUGCAGAGCUAGGUAGUGGGAGAGGUAGACGGUACUCGGUAGGAAGGGGUAAAAUCCUUUGAUCUAUUGAUGACCACCUGUGGCGAAGGCGGUCUACCAGAACACGUACGACGGUGAGGGAUGAAAGCUGGGGGAGCAAACCGGAUUAGAUACCCGGGUAGUCCCAGCUGUAAACUAUGCAAACUCAGUGAUGCAUUGGCUUGUGGCCAAUGCAGUGCUGCAGGGAAGCCGUUAAGUUUGCCGCCUGGGAAGUACGUACGCAAGUAUGAAACUUAAAGGAAUUGGCGGGGGAGCACCACAAGGGGUGAAGCCUGCGGUUCAAUUGGAGUCAACGCCAGAAAUCUUACCCGGAGAGACAGCAGAAUGAAGGUCAAGCUGAAGACUUUACCAGACAAGCUGAGAGGUGGUGCAUGGCCGUCGCCAGCUCGUGCCGUGAGAUGUCCUGUUAAGUCAGGUAACGAGCGAGAUCCCUGCCUCUAGUUGCCACCAUUACUCUCAGGAGUAGUGGGGCGAAUUAGCGGGACCGCCGCAGUUAAUGCGGAGGAAGGAAGGGGCCACGGCAGGUCAGUAUGCCCCGAAACUCUGGGGCCACACGCGGGCUGCAAUGGUAACGACAAUGGGUUUCGAAUUCGAAAGGAUGAGGUAAUCCUCAAACGUUACCACAGUUAUGACUGAGGGCUGCAACUCGCCCUCACGAAUAUGGAAUCCCUAGUAACUGCGUGUCACUAUCGCGCGGUGAAUACGUCCCUGCUCCU
rnacentral:rRNA from 1 species